rnacentral:lncRNA from 1 species
UCACAUGCUAUAUUUUCCUUCCCUCAAAAUCAACAUAGAACACAAGGAAUCUCUUCAAUAAAUGCGUUACAGGCCUCAGAGCUGCAAAUAUACAACAAAUUUAGAGUGAUAUAUGAAAUGAAAAGUACCUAACGACCAAGAACCCCAGGAGGUAAUGUUCUCUAAUUCAUUCAUGAGCAAGAAAGGGAAGGGCCCAUUUGUUCACUGCGUGUACCUUUGACACCUGUAAAUUAGUGUCAGAGACAUCGACAAAAGGUGAUGACCUUAGCCUAUUCGAUGCAACAUGCAUGCAGAGAGUGAGAAUAACAAUUUGUCAAUUUCUAUUUUCUGGGGCUUAGAACAAGGCAUCCCUAGAGUCCCAGUGGUAAUAAGAAAUGCCCAAACUAUACUUUCUUUGAAGCCUGUUAUGCAGACAGUGAUG